rnacentral:rRNA from 1 species
UACGGAGGGAGCUAGCGUUGUUCGGAAUUACUGGGCGUAAAGCGCGCGUAGGCGGCUUUGUAAGUUAGAGGUGAAAGCCCGGGGCUCAACCCCGGAACUGCCUUUAAGACUGCAUCGCUUGAAUCCGGGAGAGGUGAGUGGAAUUCCGAGUGUAGAGGUGAAAUUCGUAGAUAUCAAGCAGAACACCUGCGGCGAAGGCGGCCUUCUGGACGAUGACUGACGCUGAGACGCGAAAGCGUGGGGAGCAAACAGG